GACGAACGCUGGCGGCGUGCUUAACACAUGCAAGUCGAGCGAAAAGGCGAGGCUUUUGUGGCGUUCUCGAGUGGCGAACGGGGGAGUAACACGUGAGUAACAUGCCCUUGAAAUUGGGAUAACUUCAGGGAACUGGGGCUAAUACCGGAUAGGAGAUCCUGCAGCAUGGGGGGCGUUGGAAAGAGUCGGCGGUUGGGGAUGGACUCGCGGCUUAUCAGCUUGAUGGUGGGGUAGUGGAGUACCAAGGCUUUGACGGGUAGGCGGCCUGAGAGGGUGACCGGCCACAUUGCGCCUGAGAUACGGCCCAGACUCCUACGGUACGCAGUAGUCGGGAAUAUUGCACAAUGGGCGGAAGUCUGAUGCAGCAACGCCGCGUGCGGGAUGACGGGCUUCGGGUUGUAAACCGCUGUCGCCUGUGACGAAGCGUGAGUGACGGUAAUGGGUCAAGAAGCACCGGCUAACUACGUG
rnacentral:rRNA from 1 species